ensembl:lncRNA
AAAUGACAAGAUGAAACAAGACAGAAAGGGUAAAAGGAAUUCUUAAGUAAAAAACAAACAUAAUGGAUAUUAACAUUUACUGAGAAGGACCGUCAGAUUAAGAGAGUGAUGACAAGCACUAAAAAAAGAUCAAAGUUUACAAGAGGCAGUGUAGUGCAACAGCGUCAUUUUGAUGGAUUAUUUUCUGUGAUUAUGCAAGAGAUAUUUUUUUUUUGUCACGAAACAAGUCCUGAUAUAAUGUUUUAGCAUCUUAUUCUUCACAAAUAAAUGCUUUGUAGAGGAAAUGGAGGCGUUUAGUAGACUGGUGUUGAGCUUCUCUCUAAUUUAAGGCAAAAUGAAAAUGUAUAGUGCAAAGAUUAUGGCCUGUAUAAUGAACAUAUAGCUUAGGAACCACUGCCCCCCCUUUUUUAAACUCAUAUACUUGUGUAUUUUUGGCUCAAGGAAACCAAAUCCUAUUUGAAGCUUUUGUAAACAGAACUGGGACUGCUGUAUAACUGCAAAAAGUAAAUUUUUUACAUUUUCUAAAGAAAUUGUACUGUAAGAGCAGCUCUUACAACUGUUUUUAAUGAAACCUGAGAUAUCUCUGUCUCUCCUUAAAAAAAUCCAAGUAAUCAAAACUUUAAAGGUCAAAGAUUUUGGAAAAUGAAACCAUAUGAAUGACUCAGUUUAAAUAUGUUUAACACAGAAGCUCGAAUGUUUGCAGCAUAUAUAAUGUGCUCUAUAUUUAUGCUAUGCGGUAUGUUUACACGACCAUGAUGUGCUAUAAAACGGAAAAGAUUUUCCUUUACAUUUUUAAUAGUUUUGCAUACAGAUGACAAUGGUGUCAAAACUAUCCCCUUUUAUACGGACUGCAAAAACGUCUAAAAUGCUGCAUGUAAGGUGGCGAUGCCACUUUAUAAAGAAACUUGCACACGGACAGAGUCAGUGAGUGUAUGAGUCAGAGUCAGUGAGUGUAUGAUGCCUAGCGUUUUAAAAUCUGUACAGACUUUAAAAGUCUAAAAGUUGUAAAAAGUUAGACUCUCUGCCUCUUUUCUUGCAGUAAAUUUAGCUCAGUCUCUCAUCAUAAAAGGUAAUUUCUUUUGUUUCUCAUGGUUGUCAGCUUGCUGGGUCAUGCGAAUCACAGAGGCCUGGCUGGGCCUCAAAUUAGCGCUUGCUGAAAAACCCUUGAAGAACCAGGAGCUUCAUGCUGCUCCCGCUCAUGCACGCUGACACUUUCCCCACCUCCAGCCGUGCCGCUUUUCAAAAACAAAGACUCUAAUUGCGGGAUGUGUUUUGACCCGUCUGUGUGCCAGCAGCAAAUCAACCUCAUACCGGCCAGCGGUGAUUUUGGACUUUGCGACUUGAGUUUAUGCAGUUUGCUGUGUGCCCAAGAAACUGAGAAGUAAAUUAGUCAGAACCGAGCUAGUUCCGCCUCAGAUAAAGUUUGGAUCAUCCUGUAUAAUCUGUUUAGUUUAUGAGGACGAUGUGCACGAACAGUCCAAGAAAUAAAUACAUAUGAACAGCAUCCAAAAGUAUGAGACCACCACUGACAAUCUGUCUAACAUUUUUGCAAAAUCUGAUGAUCAUGUUCUCCAGCAUGAUUUGAGAAUGAUCCAAAGAGCAUCUUGUGCUUCACUGGAAAAGAAAUCUUAAAACAAAUGUCUCACUGUAGUCACACUACUAAGUAAAAUACUAAGUGCUUAGGAGUGAAAUACUAAGUGUACAAAAAUUAUUCCCCAGAGAAAGUUCCAGUAAGAUUAUCUUGCAUGCUCAAAGUUAUCAGUCCUUUUAGACGUUUUGUUAUACGUCUUUAUUAUCCAACACCCUGUCUGACUGAUCUUGCAACACAGGCCCAAACCUGCUGGCCAGAAAUGAUUCUCUGAGUGUGUGUUCAGUUCAGUCUUAACUGCACUGUGACACUUUCAUGAUAAGCCUUUGUGUUUCCAUCCUGCCAGUCGGCUCUGGUUUGGCAUUUCUUUUCUUUUGUUAACUAACUUUAUAAGAAUUGCCAAGUAGUUCAUGCUAUUGAACGGGAGAUAUUUCACCUUCCAGUAUAGAAGACAUCUUAAUCCCUUUCUCAGUUUCACUCUGGUCACAUAAUCAUGAUUGAAAGAAAGCUUUCCAUGAGCCAUCUGAUAUAUGGCGAAUACAAAGAAAGAAUAAGGCCCCUCUUCACUUAAAAUAUAUUUAUGGAUCUGCAUCUCUCACCUCUGAGCUGUUGGGGAAGGUGAAGAUGCAAAAAUAGAUGAAAAUAAUCACAGAUAUUUAAUCACUAGAACAAAUGUUUUCUCUGCAUAUAGGAACAGUUUGUGAUAUUCAGUGUCCACCAGUUUCAAACAAUACCUUUAAAAAAAAUAAUAAUAAUUAUAUAUAUACAUAUUGCUUGCUCACUUUAAAAGUACUAAGCGACACAUAAAUACAAUAUACAGUGGAAUCAAUAUAUCUCAGACCAAUGACAAAUGUUUCCACUUUUUGUUUCUGUUUUUUAUUUAAUAC